rnacentral:tRNA from 1 species
UUCCGCGAUAGCUCAGUCGGUAGAGCAAAUGACUGUUAAUCAUUGGGUCCCUGGUUCGAGUCCAGGUCGCGGAGCCAA